GGCCGGGAACUCAAAGGAGACUGCCAGUGAUAAACUGGAGGAAGGUGGGGAUGACGUCAAGUCAUCAUGGCCCUUACGACCAGGGCUACACACGUGCUACAAUGGCGCAUACAAAGAGAAGCGAUCUCGCGAGAGCAAGCGGACCUCAUAAAGUGCGUCGUAGUCCGGAUUGGAGUCUGCAACUCGACUCCAUGAAGUCGGAAUCGCUAGUAAUCGUGGAUCAGAAUGCCACGGUGAAUACGUUCCCGGGCCUUGUACACACCGCCCGUCACACCAUGGGAGUGGGUUGCAAAAGAAGUAGGUAGCUUAACCUUCGGGAGGGCGCUUACCACUUUGUGAUUCAUGACUGGGGUGAAGUCGUAACAAGGUAACCGUAGGGGAACCUGCGGUUGGAUCACCUCCUUACCUUAAAGAAGC
rnacentral:rRNA from 1 species